rnacentral:rRNA from 1 species
CUGCUUAAUUGCGUNUCAAAAUCUAAACCUGAGCGACAANGUGCUGCUAUCGAAACGGUCUUUGAGUGUGAACUAUAAGUCUUUUGACUUAUGACCAUCACUCUAGACGUUUAUGUUUUGGUGUUGGCCCUUGAUGCUCAUUUGAACGCAACGGACGUGAUUGCAACCCCUUGUUGAGAUUUAUCCGAUCUCUACGUUCACUGAACCACACUCUUUAGCGAGAGCAGUGGGGAUGUGGAUAAACUCGGGGGACUGCUGACUAUAAACUUUUCUCAAACCAGAGGAAGGUUGCGGCAAUAACAGGUCUGUGAUGCA